rnacentral:lncRNA from 1 species
UUUUUUUUUUUUUUUUUUUUUUUUUGUUCUGGUCUAACACAACCUUACAUUGAAUUUUGUAUUUUGUUUAUUUGUUUGGUACAAAGGAGAUUUGGCAUAGAGUGAUAGUCGCAUUCAUUAAUCCAUGCCAAUGAUUACUUCUGUGAGAUUGGGACGGGCAUUAAAAACUUAUAGCCACAAUUGUCUCAAUCAAAAAUCAUUACUAACCGUGUAUUCUAUUCCAAAUUUUUGCAGACGUUGCUAGCUCUUCUCAAUACUUGCUUUGGAAAGAACAAGAGAAAAUUUAUUCAUAGUUUUGAGCAUUCAUGUAGAGCUCAUUUUGCGUUGAAUUCUCACGGGUUAAAGGGAUAUACACAGUAGCGGAGUUAAAGGUCCAUGAUUAGGGGGUCAAUAAUCACUUGGAUCAAUAACAUAUAGUUUACGUUCCAAUUCAAUUAUUGGUUUACAGAAGAAAAUUAUUAUAAUGCAGUUGUUGUUCUAAAAUUUUGAAUCCUUGUCCAUUCAAGUGGUAUUUAUUACUUUUUCAAAUACGAUGGUGGAAAAUUUUAUAUUUUUAGAAAGAGAGUAAAGGGAAAAUUUUCCCAUAAUUUAAUUAACGGUUAAAAAAUUAUGAAAAUUUGAGGGGGUUGGGGGGCAAUUUGUCUGCCUCAGUAGCCUGGCUCUGCCCCUCCAUAUGCACAGUAAUCUAUGUGAUCAAUCAACGUUGAUCAAACAUUAGAAAGAAAUAUGAACAAUAAUUGCACUUGUUCAACUGUUGGUAUUGGUACAAAAUCAGGAACGAUAAUCUUACAUAAUCUUUUUUAGCCAGAAACAUAGCUUGGAAUACAUUCCUGGAUCAGGAAAUGUAAGUGUUGUGGAAACAAAUACAGAACAUAAAUAAUGACAAUAGGUAGAAUAAAAUGCAGGAUGAAAGAUUCAGUAACAAAAGGCUCUGAGCUUUAGAUCUGCAUGAGCUCUUCAAACGUUUUCAUUGCAGCAGCUGGCAACCCCAGAAGCACAUUGAUGCUUUUCCUUUCUCUUCCAUGAGACAGAAACAGGCUUACUUCCUUCUCUGGAAGGGCUACAGGCCCUGAUAAAACAGGUUCCCCCCAUCCAAAAUCAGUAGUAUGGAAAGAUAGCCUAGACCAGGUUGUGAUGAGAAGCGUUGCAGUCAAAGAAGGCCUUACUCUAGUUGCUUCGAAGUAGUCUAUAGCAGAUCUCAUAUAACUGUCUGUGACAAUUUGGACUGAUUCUUGGACUAGCUUCACUGCAAAUGAAAGUGGAUUCCCGACUAGCUCACCCGCGCUGCAAAAUGAAUUUGUAAGCACAAUUCCAUUGCCAAAGUAGCCUUCUGGAAUUGGGGGAUCAAAUCUUGAUCUUCCAUCAACUGCAAAGAGAAGUUUUGUCUUUUGAUCAGGCUUCAUCUUCAGGGCCUGGCUACGAGAUCGCCAUAUGAAUGCUGACAGGGCUUCAAAUGUGGUGCAUUUGGCCAGAGCUCCAUCUUCCAAAGCUUUCCUUUUGAGCUUUUCGAGUUUUUCUGGGUCAAAACAGAAUGACCUGUAGUGCAUUUCCUCCUUGUAUAGUUCAGCAGUAUUUGAUGUGUCAUCAAUUUCAGCGAAUUCAUGAUGGGGAAAUUCUAUCUUGGGAGGAUUUCGGGCUUUGAGUAUGGUUCUGUCCAUAAAUGGAGGCACUUUUAAAGGCAGUCCUCUGGCAACUUCACCCCAGGAGUUGACAAAUUCCAUUGCACCAAUCCCAUCAAACAUGCAGUGGUUCAUGCACAGCCCAAGAACAAAUCCUCCACACUUGAACUUAGUCACCUGUAGAGCAAAAUCAGUUAUCACUCAAAGACCUUAAAUUUCCAGGGUAAAGGAACAAUAAACAGCAGGGCAAGCCAUACCACGUAAGAUUGCACUAUUGCAAUAAUUUCUGUUAUGAAAGCUCUACCGAACUUUCAAGGAUAAAAUGUAAAUUCAGAUGCUCCACUUCUUUUCUUGAUCAUGUAAUAUACAUGUGACAUUGCAAAAGCCUAAUUCCUGAAUCAAAAUCUUUUCCUCUUUUUUUAUUCGCGGCCUUUUUCUUUAACCACAGAGAUUUGCUUAUAUUUUAGUUAUUCAAAGAUGUAAGUUUGCUGGAGCUAAUACUCGAAAUAGAAGUUAAAGACAUGUUGUAACCUGAGCAGCCAAAGGAGGAAUCUCCAGUACGUUUUUCGCCCCUGGAACAUCAUAAACCAGCUUUCCGAGAGUAACAGGAUCAGGCUUUGUGUUGUCGCCGAUGUCUUCAAUGGUGCAAUCUGCUUCAGCCUCAACAAAGACAGCCCCUUCUCCGGUACAAUCCACUAUCAGCUUUCCCUCAGGACUAAUGGUUAAACGCCCUGCAAGAGGGUGGUACUGAACAAGAACCUUUGAUAAAGCAUCCUUGAUCAUCCUUACAGCUUCCUCAUUGCCCUUUUCCCCUGAUUUAAAGCAGUAAAUUGUACGAACAAUCACCGCAAUGUUCUGAUCAAGAUUUGAGAGGAAAUACAGGCCCUUCUGUGUUUCUUCAGCUGGAGGGAUCAAAGUCGGUUGUCCCUGCUUGACGGUGAGCUCAAAUGUGUUGCUCUUACCAUUCUCCAUUGCUAAAAUUGUUCAAAUGACACAAUCCUGAGUCAAAACACCAUGUUAGUGAAAUUCAAAGAGAUGAAAUUUGUGUGUUUCGAGUGUUUCAUUCAUGCAAAUUGCAUCAGUGGAGAUAAAAUCUCAUGACUUGUUUAAAACUAGUAAAGACGGUCGAGAAAAAAACAUGUUCAGAUAUUUUACCUUCAAUAAGCACUCACUAGUAAAGAGAGCUUUUCUAUCUGUUGGCUGUGCUAAACUGAGAAUAUCAUGUUUUGGGGAAAGGGAUUCAAGGAAUAUAUAGGAAGACAAUUGCUUGCAAAAUUUGAAGAUUGUUAAGUUUUGGUUAACAAAGAUGGUCCAAUGAAAAUGACUAGUACUUUAUGAUUGGCAAAUUUAAUUGCUAAGAUUCUUCUUGUAGACUUCUAGAGAAAGAAGAUAUUAGACUAAUAUAUAUCUUUUGGGGGGGGGGGGUGUUAACAUUGCCUAUUAAUUCUUAUGUACGUAAUCCCAUUGUACUUUUGAUUUUAGUAAAUUUUGUUUUGGUCAUUUGGUGAGGACAAAUUCUAUAUACUCAUAUUGGUAUGGUUAGGCUACUAGCCAUGGAACAAAAUUUUAGUAACAGUCAAGAGAACAUGGCGUAGUAGAGAAGAUCCUGUGGGGUUGGUUGGUAGGGUUGGCGUCCAAAUUUUGAUUACUUGAUGCAUCUAAAAUUUGAUGCAGCAAAAUGCCACGCUACCCCAGAUAAUCACUUUAUUCCUAGUCACUUCACUUAUAAUAUAGCAUAACAACAAGAAAAGCAGAUUAUGAUCAAAUCUCCACAACAUUAUGGUUUUGUAAUUAAGUUGGCACUUUUUUGGCCUGGAUUGAUGGCAAUUCACCCCUACAUUACUCAAGGAUCAAAAAGUGUUUUGGGUUUCUUGAGGGUUAUGCUCUGUUGAAAACAGCCAAGGAGAACAUGUUACAGCAUCAAGGCAUUAUUAGCUAAUGUUGGGAUUUUUAUUAUUUUCCCUUUUCCUUAUUUUCUCCUAAAAUCUCUUCCUCUCCAUUACAAGUCCUUUUCUUUUUUCUUCUUUCAUCUCACUCUCUUCCUCAUCUUUCUCAAUACAUUUCAUGCUAAGUUACAUAUAUCUUCUUUUCACGUAUGACCUAAAUUAGAGGAAUUUUUUAUUUUCUUAUGUAUGUAUUGAAAAGAGGAAAAGAAGACCACAGUUCUGCAUGGGUUUACCUCUAACUUUCUGUUAGGAUGAUUAGUUAGUUAAUGGUGUGUAAGCACAGCCCUUUUUGAUCUUUUAAUCUCUGAUAAGUUGACAAUUAGAUUGAGCAAGUUGCUAUAUGGAAAUUCUGAAAAAGAUAGAUUAUGUAAGAACAAUAAUAAUAAUGAUUUGAAAGCCAUAGCUGAAAGUAAAAAAAAAAAACCCAUAUAUCUCCUGUGCGUUGAUAUUGUAGCCUAACAAACUCAAACAAAAACUUUUAAAUCUUAGAUUAGAACAGAAUAGCAAACUUAAGAACUUGAUAUAUGAGUUUGGUUUAGUUGGUGCACACCCUACCCUCAUCCAGAACGACUGCACUUACCUAACUUAAUCACAAGGUUUUUGUUCAUUAUUGCAAAAAAAAAAAAAAAAAUUUUUUUUGGGGUUUAUCAUUGCAAAUUUGGUAACGUUGAGGGACAAAAAAAUUUACUUUCAAAUUUUUAUUUAUUGCUUGAAAUUAGGGCGAAAUAAAAGACUUUUUGCUCACUUACAUUAGCUUAGUAGCACUGCCAAAAAAUAAUUCCUAAUUAUGCCAAAGCUAUGUUUUGAGUAAUAAUCACGAAAUUAGUCAAUAUCUGAGCAAUAUUUCAGGGCAAAAAUCCAGUGCUAUUGGAUUGGCUUUCUUCUUCUCUUCUUCGUCUUCUUCCUCUUCCUCUUCCUCUUUCUUCCCUCUUUUUUUUUUUUCCCUAUUGAUAGCUAUAAUUGGGAGAAAUAGUCCCAAAUUGUGAUCUCAGAUUCUGACGCAUAUUCUCACUUCUGAAUUCAACAACAUUUAGACUUUAUCUGAGACUAUAUUAUGCAGACAAGACAAUUUUGCUUCUUCCCUUGCUUUCCUGUUGAUAGCUAUGAUUGUGAGAAAUAGUCCCAAAUGGUGAUAUAUCAGAUUCUGACGCAUAUUCUCACUUCUGAAUUCAACAUUUCGACCUUAUCUGAGACUAUAUAUUAUGCAGAAAAGACAAUUUUCAGAUUGCAAUAAAUUUGUCAUUCGAUUAGUGUUUCGAUUGGAUUUUUCUACCAAAAAAUUUUUAUGUUUUCCACAAACACGUUUCUAAAUCACAUUUGAUCUCACAUAUAUCAAAUCGUUACAAUAUAUUUUUCUACAAAGCUGCAGAAAAUAUCAAUCCAAACAUUUUUACAGAACCAUCCAACAUUUUUAAGAUAAACUUAAACCAUACAUGCUGUGCAAGGAAUCAAGGACAGCAGCACCAGUGGAAACGUCAGGUCAAGGAUAUACAUAUGAUCAGAACACACCCACUAUGACGUUAAAAUGCAGCCAAAACCCACCAGAGACAGAAAUCCCUUUUAUUCUCUUAUCAAGAAGAACUAAUUAAGAACAAAACUAUCAUAGUUAUCAGAUAACAAGUAAGACAGAUGAUCUAUGCAUCGGAUAGAUAUCAUACUCAUCAAUUUGGAAUUAACAGACAUUGAUGAAAUGAUUUUUAACGCCAACCACCUAUGAUAGAUGGUAAAAUCCCACUUAUGAGAGAUGGAUUUCAUCAGAUGGAUUUGAUAUUCUUUUCCUUUAACUACGAGUAGUCUGCGUUUACUUAAUGGAAUCAUGUGUGUUCCUGUGCAAUUGCUAGAUUAAUAUAUACAAUUAUCUAUAGAGGAAAUUUUUAGGAACACAAAAGGUGUCAUUUCAACUUGUGCUUUAGAUAUUGUUUACAUUUGAUUUUACAACCCUUUUUUUUUUCUCUUUUACAUUACAGCAAGGUUAUUUAAUUAAUUUUUUUUUGUUUGUUUUAUCAAGCUAUAGCACGGUUAUUUUACCUACUCGAAGGAUUUAGGUACUUGCUUAACACAAUCAUAUCCGAAAAUUUACUGUACUUUUUUUUUUUAAUUGUGGAGGAAUGUAGUUUAUUCUAUUUUUACAAUGAUUCCACUAAGUAAACUAGAAAUAGGAUAGCAACUUGACAACGACGCUAUUUCCAAAGCAAGCAAGAAGAAUGCAUCCAGGAGCAAGCAUCUUGUUAAUAACUGAAAAACCAAAAUUACUACUACAAGCAAAAGUAAAGAGAGUUGCACAAAUUACAGGCUUAAUGGCUUGCAGCGCAUCAAUAUCAAAAUGAAAACUCAAGACAUUGAAGAUGAGUAAAAGACCGUCCUUUCAAAUCCACCCUUCUCACUGUAAAAUGUCUCAUCUAUGUGUCAAAGAACAGUAUAAAAAUUACAAAUCUAAGUCCACUGUGAACCCACUUCUGGAAAAUUUCCUAGGUGUUUUACAGAGUUUAACAUCAAAUAAAUACAACUACAUCAAUUUCAUGCUCAAGCUAUAAGCUAAAGAUAGGAAGGGGAUUAGAAUGUAAAAAAUCCCUAAUGGUGAGAUUUCA